rnacentral:rRNA from 1 species
AUGCAGUCGAGCGGMAGAAGGGAGCUUGCUCCCGGAUGUUAGCGGCGGACGGGUGAGUAACACGUGGGUAACCUGCCUGUAAGACUGGGAUAACUCCGGGAAACCGGAGCUAAUACCGGAUAGUUCCUUGAACCGCAUGGUUCAAGGAUGAAAGACGGUUUCGGCUGUCACUUACAGAUGGACCCGCGGCGCAUUAGCUAGUUGGUGGGGUAAUGGCUCACCAAGGCGACGAUGCGUAGCCGACCUGAGAGGGUGAUCGGCCACACUGGGACUGAGACACGGCCCAGACUCCUACGGGAGGCAGCAGUAGGGAAUCUUCCGCAAUGGACGAAAGUCUGACGGAGCAACGCCGCGUGAGUGAUGAAGGUUUUCGGAUCGUAAAGCUCUGUUGUUAGGGAAGAACAAGUGCGAGAGUAACUGCUCGCACCUUGACGGUACCUAACCAGAAAGCCACGGCUAACUACGUGCCAGCAGCCGCGGUAAUACGUAGGUGGCAAGCGUUGUCCGGAAUUAUUGGGCGUAAAGGGCUCGCAGGCGGUUUCUUAAGUCUGAUGUGAAAGCCCCCGGCUCAACCGGGGAGGGUCAUUGGAAACUGGGGAAACUUGAGUGCAGAAGAGGAGAGUGGAAUUCCACGUGUAGCGGUGAAAUGCGUAGAGAUGUGGAGGAACACCAGUGGCGAAGGCGACUCUCUGGUCUGUAACUGACGCUGAGGAGCGAAAGCGUGGGGAGCGAACAGGAUUAGAUACCCUGGUAGUCCACGCCGUAAACGAUGAGUGCUAAGUGUUAGGGGGUUUCCCGCCCCUUAGUGCUGCAGCUAACGCAUUAAGCACUCCGCCUGGGGAGUACGGUCGCAAGACUGAACUCAAAGGAAUUGACGGGGGGCCCCGCACAGCGUGAGCAUGUGAUUAAUUCGAGCACGCGAAGAACCUUACCAGUCUGGACAUCUCUGACUAUCCUUAGA